CGUGACGUAGCUCAAAUGGAUAGAGCACCCGCUUUCGACGUCUCGUAGUUCCUAUGCAGUUCUACUUUAGGGGCGGGAGGUUGCAGGUUCAAGUCCUGUCGUUGCGCCCA
rnacentral:tRNA from 1 species